rnacentral:rRNA from 1 species
UACGGAGGGUGCAAGCGUUAUCCGGAUUCACUGGGUUUAAAGGGUGCGUAGGUGGGCAGGUAAGUCAGCGGUGAAAUCCCCGAGCUUAACUUGGGAACUGCCAUUGAUACUAUCUGUCUUGAAUACCUUGGAGGUGAGCGGAAUAUGUCAUGUAGCGGUGAAAUGCUUAGAUAUGACAUAGAACACCAAUUGCGAAGGCAGCUCACUACACGGUCAUUGACACUGAGGCACGAAAGCGUGGGGAGCAAACAGG